rnacentral:sRNA from 1 species
UAAAAUAAAGGUACAGCUGCAUGAGGACGGUUUGGCCAUUCCCGGAGAAAGGGGGUGGUGACAUGACGAUUUCAGAAUCAUUUGCUCUUGUUUUCACGAGCAUUGGACUCACGAUCAGUGCAGUGACUUUGGUCGUUUCCAUGAUUUUGGCCAUGAACGAAAAAAAAUAACCGUCCCUUGUGGUAGAGGAAUGACGGUUAUUUUCAGAGCCUAGUUUUCCAGCCAACCGCUCACGCGCGGCAUGCAGCUGGCCGAAUGCUUCGGCAUUCGGUUUUUUUACGCUAGUUUCAGUAUACUAAAU